rnacentral:misc_RNA from 1 species
GAUGAAGAACGCAGCGGAAUGCGAUAAGUAAUGUGAAUUGCAGAAUUCAGUGAAUCAUCGAGUCUUUGAACGCACAUUGCGCCCCCUGGUAUUCCGGGGGGCAUGCCUGUCCGAGCGUCAUUGCUGCCCUCAAGCACGGCUUGUGUGUUGGGCCCCGUCCCCUCCCCCGGGGACGGGCCCGAAAGGCAGCGGCGGCACCGCGUCCGAUCCUCGAGCGUAUGGGGCUUUGUCACCCGCUCUGUAGGCCCGGCCGGCGCCAGCCGACACCCAACUUUUAUUUCUAAGGUUGACCUCGGAUCAGGUAGGGAUACCCGCUGAACUUAAGCAUAUCAAUAAGCGGAGGA